rnacentral:rRNA from 1 species
AUUGAACGCUGGCGGCAGGCCUAACACAUGCAAGUCGAACGGUAACAGGAAACAGCUUGCUGUUUCGCUGACGAGUGGCGGACGGGUGAGUAAUGUCUGGGAAACUGCCUGAUGGAGGGGGAUAACUACUGGAAACGGUAGCUAAUACCGCAUAACGUCGCAAGACCAAAGAGGGGGACCCUCGGGCCUCUUGCCAUCGGAUGUGCCCCGAUGGGAUUAGCUUGUUGGUGGGGUAACGGCUCACCAAGGCGACGAUCCCUAGCUGGUCUGAGAGGAUGACCAGCCAACCUUGAACUGGGAAACCGUCCCGGCUCCUACGGGAGGCAGGAAGGGGGGAAUAUUGCACAAAGGGCGCAAGCCUGAUGCAGCCAUGCCGCGUGUAUGAAGAAGGCCUUCGGGUUGUAAAGUACUUUCAGCGGGGAGGAAGGGAGUAAAGUUAAUACCUUUGCUCAUUGACGUUACCCGCAGAAGAAGCACCGGCUAACUCCGUG